rnacentral:rRNA from 1 species
UACGAAGGGGGCUAGCGUUGUUCGGAUUUACUGGGCGUAAAGCGCACGUAGGCGGAUCGUUAAGUCGGGUGUGAAAGCCCCGGGCUCAACCCGGGAAGUGCACUCGAAACUGACCGGCUUGAAUAUGGAAGAGGGUCGCGGAAUUCCCGGUGUAGAGGUGAAAUUCGUAGAUAUCGGGAGGAACACCAGUGGCGAAGGCGGCGACCUGGGCCAAUAUUGACGCUGAGGUGCGAAAGCGUGGGGAGCAAACAGG